rnacentral:rRNA from 1 species
AUUGAACGCUGGCGGCAGGCCUAACACAUGCAAGUCGAACGAGUGGCGGACGGGUGAGUAACGCAUCGGAACGUACCGAGUAAUGGGGGAUAACUGUCCGAAAGGACAGCUAAUACCGCAUAUUAUUCGAGCGGCCGAUGGCUGAUUAGCUGGUUGGCGGGGGAAAGGCCCACCAAGGCGACGAUCAGUAGCGGGUCUGAGAGGAUGAUCCGCCACACUGGGACGUGGACACGGCCCAGACUCCUACGGGAGGCAGCAGUGGGGAAUUUUGGACAAUGGGCGCAAGCCUGAUCCAGCCAUGCCGCGUGUCUGAAGAAGGCCUUCGGGUUGUAAAGGACUUUUGUCAGGGAAGCGGUACCUGAAGAGUAAGCACCGGCUAACUACGUGCCAGCCGCCGCGGUAAUAC